AAUAUAACCAUCUUUAUAUCAUCAAAGGAGUUUGUUAAUGUUAGAGAUAAAUUAAAUGAGAAAGGUUUUAGUGCUUUACAUUUAGCUGCACAAUAUAAUAACGCAAAUGUUGUGGUAUCUGCUUGAAAAUCGGGCUUUAAUUGAUAGUCCAGAUAGAGAUGAUGGUAAUACACCUUUACUAUUGGCAGCAAAAUAUAAAAAGACAAAUGCUGCUGUAUUUCUUUUUGAAAAAGGUGCAAAUGUCUUGAUCAGAAAUUGAAAGAACCACAGCAUUGCACUAUGCAAGUAGAUGUGGUGAUAAAAAACUUGUAAUAAAGAUUUCUAAAAUCUGUUAACAUUAAUGUAGAAGAUAACAAUUUGUGAGCUGAACUGGUCUUCACGGGUCUUGGUACGUGGCCUCUAUGACAAGUAGCCGGAGGAGGGUAAACCACAAUACCACUUAAACUUACAUUUAAAAUUGUUCAGUUAGUUAAAGCUGUACUAUUUUGUAUAUAACUUGUUAUAUAUAAUGAUAAUAAUUGACUUUUUUUUUU
rnacentral:lncRNA from 1 species